ensembl:lncRNA
GCCUGGUGCCGGGUACUAGGCAAUAGAGAUUGAUUGAGUAAAUGAAUGCAUUUCUUCAGGAUAUAGUCCAAGAUACAAACCUCCUAACGACGUUCUCCAGCCUUCAGACUUCAAAGUUGCACAGAUAUUGCAGAGCCAUAGUUGAGGGGUGAGGGGGUGGGGGACACAGUUGCUUCCCAGUCUUCCACCCCCUCCACUCUUUGGGCAACUUUUCCUGGAACCGCCUGCUGUUCUUGGCUGCUGUGGGAAGGAGCCCGCAUCCAGGUGAAGGUCAGCACAGCUUCCCAAGUGUAUCACAUCCUCACAGGCAGCAGGGGCAAGGCUGGGCCCAGCUGGGUCCCCACUUCCUUCCCCAGUACAGAUUGAUUCCUGUGAGUAAUUGAGUUAAUCCUUGUUCUCCCCAACUGCACUUUAUCAAGUGAUUCCAGGGAAGUAGCCACAUUCCCAAAUCUACAAUAUGAGAAAGUGAAGGAACAUGAAAACCAAAACAGUUCACCUUUGCUUUCUGUUGAUAAAUUAAGUUCCUUGGAGUGGAAGGAUCUUGGGACCUAAUGGGUGCUGAGGGCUUCCUCAAAUCCAGCCAGACUUGUCUGUGAAACCCUUAAGCUCUGGUGCCAGUCAACCUGGAUUCCAGGCCCAGCUCUAGCUGGCCAUGUGACCUUGGCCAUUCAUUUGAUCCCUCUGAGGCUCAGUUUCUUCGUCUGUAAAAGGAAUCAGGAACCCCACCUCCCAGCUGGCAUGGAGGUCGGAGAUGCUAGUGGAGCCCCUUGGCAACUGGGGCAACCGAGCCACAAGCAACUAGAUCGAGGGCUCCCAACUCCCAGCCACCUUCUUGUCACUUCAGCCCAUACUGUUUGCUACUCAGAAUAUGCACUGAGAUGAAAUGUGUCCUCCCCAAAGUCCUGUUCACACAGAAGCUCAGAAUGUGGCUUUAUUUGGAAAGAGGGUCUUUGUGGGUAUAAUUCAGUUAAGAAUCAAGAUGAGAUCAGAGACUAGAGUCAGCCCUGAAGGACAGUGUCUUUAUAAGAGAUGGGAAAAAAACAACAACAACAGAGACUGGGUAAGAAAAAGGCCCUGUGAAGACAGAGGCAGAGCUUUGGAGCCAAGGGUCACCAGGAGCUGGAAGAGGCAGGAAGGAUUCUCCCCUGAAGCCUUCAGCAGGAGCACAGCCCUGCCCAUACCUUGACUUUGAACUUCUGGCCUCCAGAACAUAAGAGAAUGCGUUUCUGUUGUGUUAAGCCACCAGAUGCAGAGCAGUCAGCUGUGAGCCCGGGGGAACUGAUGGAACCAGAUCCUGACCUAAGUCAAUUGCUAGGACUCUGUCCCUCAGGGAGUAAAGCACAGAGCAUACCCCAGAUAUCUAUCCUUGCCAUGGAAUCUCUUCCAAAUUGUGAUUGUCAAGGACAGCCCAGAAUCUUGUCUGGACGUAUCGCGAUUUGUUCAACUAAUCUCCUGUUGUCGGACAUUCAGGUUGUAUCUGCGCUCUGCUGACUGUCAAAAGGCAGUUCUGCCUGCCCUGGACUUUGCACUAGGCUGAAGGCUGACCCACCUCUUCUAAAUCCCAAGUGGUCUUCCGAGAAGGAUCAGGCAGGGACAAAGACACAUACUGCGGAGCUUCCAGUGCCUCCCCAGUCAAGUCUCAAGACAUAAGACACACCCAGACUUGAGUGUGGAUGAGAAUCACAUUCCAGAGGCAGGGAGCGUAUUGUUUGGGCGACAAGAUGUAACUCUAAAAUACAGAAGGUUUCUUUUCCGACAGUCAUACCAGAGCUCACCCAACCCAGUAACUCACUGUCCUUUCAAAGUAGUCACCCGGAAGGCAGUCCUCUCCUUGCAAUAAAACGGUGCUUGCAUGAAAAUGCAUCUGAGAAGUCUUAAAACUAUCUCCAGAGCCUGGUGUAGGUGGUGUUUGGAUGUCCUUUAGGCUGGAAAGUCUUUAUGCUUCUAGGUAUGUUGAGAUCUGGAAAUAGCCUGUGCUCACCAACUACAUUGCAAACACAGAAUCUAUGUCUAGUUUGAGCAGAAACAGAUUUACUCAGCUAUAACAGAGAGAUGAGAGUCUGUGGCAGGUUUGGAAAACCAGUGUGGAGGCCAUUUUUGUAUCUUUUUGUAAAUGAAUUGCCUGUUCAUGUUUUUUGCCUUUUCUUCUAUGAGGUUUUGGGUCUCUGUUUCUGUCAAUUUUUAAUUAAAAAAAAUUGUUUAGGAAUAUUAGCCCUUUAUC